rnacentral:misc_RNA from 1 species
UACUGAAGAAAUGGUAGAGCUGAGCUGGCUCCUUAGGAGUAUGUGCUCGCUCUAUCGCCUUUUCUACUCUCCACUGUGCACCUCUUGUAGGCUACGAUCUUUCAGCUCGAAAGGGUUGAAUUUCAGAGGGCUUUAGCAGUUCAUUUGCUUGACCUCGACUUCGUAGCCUAUGUCUUACAUACACUCUGUCAAAGUAUAUGAAUGUGUAUUGUUGGUCUUUGACCGAUAAACUAUAUACAACUUUCAGCAACGGAUCUCUUGGCUCUCGCAUCGAUGAAGAACGCAGCGAAAUGCGAUAAGUAAUGUGAAUUGCAGAAUUCAGUGAAUCAUCGAAUCUUUGAACGCACAUUGCGCCCCUUGGUAUUCCGAGGGGCAUGCCUGUUCGAGCGUCAUUACAACCCUCAAGCAUUGCUUGGUAUUAGGCUCCGCUGCUCACCCAGCGGGCCUUAAAAUCAGUGGCGGUGCCGUCGGGCCCUGAGCGUAGUAAAUCUCCUCGCUAUAGGGACCCGGUGGACGCUGGCCAUCAACCCCCCUUACUUUCUAAGUUUG